AGUAGCCACGGUAAUACAGAGGGUGCGAGCGUUAAUCGGAUUUACUGGGCGUAAAGCGUGCGUAGGCGGCUUUUUAAGUCGGAUGUGAAAUCCCUGAGCUUAACUUAGGAAUUGCAUUCGAUACUGGGAAGCUAGAGUAUGGGAGAGGAUGGUAGAAUUCCAGGUGUAGCGGUGAAAUGCGUAGAGAUCUGGAGGAAUACCGAUGGCGAAGGCAGCCAUCUGGCCUAAUACUGACGCUGAGGUACGAAAGCAUGGGGAGCAAACAGGAUUAGAUCCCGCGUAGUCCCUGUCUCUUAUACAC
rnacentral:rRNA from 1 species